CUACGGGGGGCACCAGUGAGGAAUAUUGCACAAUGGGGGGAACCCUGAUGCAGCAACGCCGCGUGGAGGAUGACGCAUUUCGGUGUGUAAACUCCUUUUAUAUGUCAAGAAAAUGACGGUAGCAUAUGAAUAAGCGCCGGCUAACUCCGUGCCAGCAGCCGCGGUAAUACGGAGGGCGCAAGCGUUACUCGGAAUCACUGGGCGUAAAGGACGCGUAGGCGGGUUGGAAAGUCAGGUGUGAAAUCCUACAGCUUAACUGUAGAACUGCACUUGAAACUUCUAAUCUAGAGUAUGGGAGGGGGAGAUGGAAUUAGUGGUGUAGGGGUAAAAUCCGUAGAUAUCACUAGGAAUACCUAAAGCGAAGGCGAUCUCCUGGAACAUUACUGACGCUAAGGCGUGAAAGCGUGGGGAGCAAACAGGAUUAGAUACCCUUGUAGUC
rnacentral:rRNA from 1 species